GAUGAACGCUGGCGGCGUGCCUAAUACAUGCAAGUCGAGCGAACAGAUAAGGAGCUUGCUCCUUUGACGUUAGCGGCGGACGGGUGAGUAACACGUGGGUAACCUACCUAUAAGACUGGAAUAACUCCGGGAAACCGGGGCUAAUGCCGGAUAACAUUUAGAACCGCAUGGUUCUAAAGUGAAAGAUGGUUUUGCUAUCACUUAUAGAUGGACCCGCGCCGUAUUAGCUAGUUGGUAAGGUAACGGCUUACCAAGGCAACGAUACGUAGCCGACCUGAGAGGGUGAUCGGCCACACUGGAACUGAGACACGGUCCAGACUCCUACGGGAGGUAGCAGUAGGGAAUCUUCCGCAAUGGGCGAAAGCCUGACGGAGCAACGCCGCGUGAGUGAUGAAGGUCUUCGGAUCGUAAAACUCUGUUAUUAGGGAAGAACAAAUGUGUAAGUAACUGUGCACGUCUUGACGGUACCUAAUCAGAAAGCCACGGCUAACUACGUG
rnacentral:rRNA from 1 species